UGAACAGCUCCCACUCACGUGUGCCCCCGAAUGUCCACGCUCUUUGCUUUUCUAAAUGGCAAAUACCAUAUAGUGGUAUAUGCUGAAUGUGUCCCCCACAAAGAGAGAUCGGUAGAGCA